GCAGACUUGGCAGAGUGGUCUAAUGCGCUAGAAUCAGGAUCUAGUCACUUCGGUGGCGGGAGUUCGAAUCUCCCAGUCUGCA
rfam:Absidia glauca strain CBS 101.48 genome assembly, contig: contig_6541